AAAGGCGCAAAAUCACUUUGACUUCACGCUUUUGGUCAAAAUAAAUAAAUAAAUAAUAUAUUCAAAAGGGACCAGAUUUGGAGCCUUGAAGUAGCAAUAUUUUGCCUGGGGGUGGUGCAGACAGGGGAGGGAUGGAAAGGGAGGACAUGGAAAGGAGAGGAGCCGGGGCGAGAGAGCCCCACGCUCCCAGUUAAGUCGAAGGGGAAAAGUUGCCCCAGUCCUGAGCGCGGAGCGGCCCGAGUCGCGUUGCGGCGGCGGGGGGAGACGCGUCCGGCCGGGCCGCCGCUCGGGCUCGCGGCUGGGAGCCCAACUCCGCCCGGCGCGCCCCGGCCCGCGGCUCGCGGCCUCGGCUGCUCGCCGUCCUGCGCAGCGUGGGCUCCUCCCGGCACGGAAACUUUCGCUCGGGAAAGCCAGCGGGCGACAGGCGGCGAGGACGCAGGCUCCACCCGGCCGACGCGGUGGGACGCGCGGCCCCGCAGCCCCGCAGUCCCGCUCCGCGGAUCCCCGGGGCCGGCUCGCCGCCGCCCGCCCGGGUCCGAGGGGCGCUGUCCCGGCCGGGGCCCGGGGCGCUGGCCCGCGUCCUUCCCGCGGCCGGACCCCAAAGGCUGACAAAGAAUAAACAAAAGAGGGAGAAAAAAAACGUGAAAGGGAUGUCCCCUCAGGGAAGGGAGAUAUUCUCGUCCACAAACGCGUGCCCAGAACUGGACGCAGGCCUGUCAUUACCGUCCCUGUUCCCGGGACACCUCUGGAAGGGUGCCUUUUAAGAAUCCCCUCUUUUUCCCUCCCCCAGAUUUCAGUAGGAGAAAAACGUCCUAAAAGGCAAGCCGAGUUACAGAGACAACAUUCCUGGCCACGAGAACCCUUGCUGGGAUCUAUAACUUCAACGCGCUCCAAGUUUCCUCGAUAGAAGUUUCUGGCUGACAGUUCCAACAUGUAACUGAGGCACAGUGAGAAGUUAUUGUUCCGAGUGUGUACUCUUGGGAAGCUCUCUUCCAGAGAAGAUUAAAAUCUUUCUUUUGGUGUAUUAAAAGAUAGACCUCACAUCUGCCACUUCCCAAAACAGCAAAGAUUCUGACUUUUAAUUGCAUCUCAAGAAAAAGGAAAAGGGUUUUUUUUUUUAAAAAGCACUGGCACGUCGCCCUGGUUUUUGUUGUUGUUGUUGUUGUUUUUUAAUGGGGAAAAGUAAUUUAAUGCUGAUAUUUCUACUUUAAAAACUUCUUUUGUUGCAGCAAUGGAUGUGCCCGCGAUUUCCAGCUUUCUGCGGUUAGCAAUAUUAUCUUAAGUAACUUUUGGCGCCCUUCGUAAGACUUUUGGAUAUGGGACGAUUGUUUGCGCCCUCUAGGCAAGGGCUGGAUCCAAGUUCAGCACCAAAGCCCUUCACAUCCGCUCCUGCUUUCUCUCCUAUCUCCGCCAGCUCCCGCUCCCUCCCCCGCGGGGAGGGGGGUGGGGUGGAGAGGCGGGGGAAGCUCUACAAAGCACAGCUCCAACGACAGCCUUUGGAAACCGGACCGAGAAAAAUACAGUAGAAGAGUUACAGUUACAGAGAGGCUUCUGGUAACUUUCUCUCCAACAGGCAUAAAUUUAAACACACACACAAAGAAACAGAUGUUCCUCAAAGGGCAGUCUGGGGGUAAAAAACAUUUCCAACUCUCUCCCCUGGUCCCAAGUUACAAAAGUAAAUCCUUGUCCAGAGUUCACAAAGAUACUGAGACCCUUGAAAGAGAACAGGGAUGAAGGGUGAAGGGAAGGAAGAAAGGAUAGUGGAGAGAA